ensembl:lncRNA
GUAGGAAGGAGGGGGUGUGAUGUGGUGCAGACGAGGAGGGCUGACUUCAGGGAGGAGAACCCUCAGUUCAUUGGUGGUAGCAUGAGAAAGGCCGGUCUGCUUAUGCCCCUCCAUGGAAUCAAAGCCUUUGCUAGCUUCCUAUUUACGAGGUGCGGUAUUUCAGAUCCCUCCAAUGCCAAGCGCAGAGCCUUGUGCAUGAAACAAAACCAACACAGCCAGACCGAGAGACAGAAACAGACAGAAGAGCAUAGAGCCACCAACUGCCAAAUCUCCCUUGUGGGUUACUGAAGGUAUUGUUUCUGGUGUUCGGUGUAGUCCACGUGCCCUGGACGGCACAACCACCAGAGUAAAGGACAGGACUCAGUCUAUCUGAUGAAGCAAAGAUCAGCAAGAAUGUUUUGAUGUCAGAAACUGGAAGUCCAGCCAGACACUGCCGUGGCCGGUUGCCCAGAGACGGCCACGCCCAUCUCCGUAGGACAGCCAUGGAAACUCUGCAUCCGGGCAGCCAAGAAACAGGAAACCUCUAAUGCUGGGCCAGCCUGCUGCCCCAGCCUGCUGCCCCAGUCCCGGAUCUGGGUGUGGCUUGAAGCAGCGAUGCUGUCUGUUUGAAAAUUAACUAGCAGCACUCUCACACUCACCGAUAGAAAUGAUCAUUGUCACAGCCCUUUAAAAAUAGGUUUACUGCUUUUCUUGAAAAGUGAAAGUCAUGAAAGUAAUACAGGAUCAUUUUACUUCCCAAAUACAGAAAUGUGUUAAUAGGAGAAGACACUUAUAA